GACGAGCUCUCCAAACGUUAUUCGGAUUUACUGGGCUUAAAGGGUGCGUAGGCGGCGCGGAAAGUUGGGUGUGAAAUCCCUCGGCUUAACCGAGGAACAGCGCCCAAAACUACCGUGCUCGAGGGAGAUAGAGGUGAGCGGAACUUAGGGUGGAGCGGUGAAAUGCGUUGAUAUCCUAAGGAACACCGGUGGCGAAAGCGGCUCACUGGAUCUCUUCUGACGCUGAUGCACGAAAGCUAGGGUAGCGAACGGG
rnacentral:rRNA from 1 species